CUGAACGGGCGUGCCUAAUACAUGCAGUCGAGCGGACAGAUGGGAGCUUGCUCCCUGAUGUUAGCGGCGGACGGGUGAGUAACACGUGGGUAACCUGCCUGUAAGACUGGGAUAACUCCGGGAAACCGGGGCUAAUACCGGAUGCUUGUUUGAACCGCAUGGUUCAAACAUAAAAGGUGGCUUCGGCUACCACUUACAGAUGGACCCGCGGCGCAUUAGCUAGUUGGUGAGGUAAUGGCUCACCAAGGCAACGAUGCGUAGCCGACCUGAGAGGGUGAUCGGCCACACUGGGACUGAGACACGGCCCAGACUCCUACGGGAGGCAGCAGUAGGGAAUCUUCCGCAAUGGACGAAAGUCUGACGGAGCAACGCCGCGUGAGUGAUGAAGGUUUUCGGAUCGUAAAGCUCUGUUGUUAGGGAAGAACAAGUACCGUUCGAAUAGGGCGGUACCUUGACGGUACCUAACCAGAAAGCCACGGCUAACUACGUGCCAGCAGCCGCGGUAAUACGUAGGUGGCAAGCGUUGUCCGGAAUUAUUGGGCGUAAAGGGCUCGCAGGCGGUUCCUUAAGUCUGAUGUGAAAGCCCCCGGCUCAACCGGGGAGGGUCAUUGGAAACUGGGGAACUUGAGUGCAGAAGAGGAGAGUGGAAUUCCACGUGUAGCGGUGAAAUGCGUAGAGAUGUGGAGGAACACCAGUGGCGAAGGCGACUCUCUGGUCUGUAACUGACGCUGAGGAGCGAAAGCGUGGGGAGCGAACAGGAUUAGAUACCCUGGUAGUCCACGCCGUAAACGAUGAGUGCUAAGUGUUAGGGGGUUUCCGCCCCUUAGUGCUGCAGCUAACGCAUUAAGCACUCCGCCUGGGGAGUACGGUCGCAAGACUGAAACUCAAAGGAAUUGACGGGGGCCCGCACAAGCGGKGGAGCAUGUGGUUUAAUUCGAAGCAACGCGAAGAACCUUACCAGGUCUUGACAUCCUCUGACAAUCCUAGAGAUAGGACGUCCCCUUCGGGGGCAGAGUGACAGGUGGUGCAUGGUUGUCGUCAGCUCGUGUCGUGAGAUGUUGGGUUAAGUCCCGCAACGAGCGCAACCCUUGAUCUUAGUUGCCAGCAUUCAGUUGGGCACUCUAAGGUGACUGCCGGUGACAAACCGGAGGAAGGUGGGGAUGACGUCAAAUCAUCAUGCCCCUUAUGACCUGGGCUACACACGUGCUACAAUGGACAGAACAAAGGGCAGCGAAACCGCGAGGUUAAGCCAAUCCCACAAAUCUGUUCUCAGUUCGGAUCGCAGUCUGCAACUCGACUGCGUGAAGCUGGAAUCGCUAGUAAUCGCGGAUCAGCAUGCCGCGGUGAAUACGUUCCCGGGCCUUGUACACACCGCCCGUCACACCACGAGAGUUUGUAACACCCGAAGUCGGUGAGGUAACCUUUAUGGAGCCAGCCGCCGAAGGUGGACAGAUUACCCC
rnacentral:rRNA from 1 species